rnacentral:rRNA from 1 species
CCCGCUGAACUUAAGCAUAUCAAUAAGCGGAGGAAAAGAAACUAACAAGGAUUCCCCUAGUAACUGCGAGUGAAGCGGGAAAAGCUCAAAUUUAAAAUCUGGCGGUCUUUGGCUGUCUGAGUUGUAAUCUAGAGAAGUGUUAUCCGCGCUGGACCGUGUACAAGUCCCUUGGAACAGGGCGUCAUAGAGGGUGAGAAUCCCGUCUUUGACACGGACCCCCGGUGCUCUGUGAUGCGCUCUCAAAGAGUCGAGUUGUUUGGGAAUGCAGCUCAAAAUGGGUGGUAAAUUCCAUCUAAAGCUAAAUAUUGGCGAGAGACCGAUAGCGAACAAGUACCGUGAGGGAAAGAUGAAAAGAACUUUGGAAAGAGAGUUAAACAGUACGUGAAAUUGCUGAAAGGGAAACGCUUGAAGUCAGUCGCGUCGUCCAGGGAUCAACCUUGCUUUUGCUUGGUGCACUUUCUGGUUCGAUGGGUCAGCAUCAAUUUUGACUGUUGGAAAAAGGUCAAGGGAAUGUGGCAUCUUUGGAUGUGUUAUAGCCCUUGGUCACAUACAAUGGUUGGGAUUGAGGAACUCAGCACGCCGCAAGGCCGGGUUUUAAACCACGUACGUGCUUAGGAUGCUGGCAAUAUGGCUUUAAUCGACCCGUCUUGAAACACGG